rnacentral:rRNA from 1 species
AGUGAACGCUGGCGGCGUGCCUAACACAUGCAAGUCGAACGAUGAAGUCCUUCGGGAUGGAAUAGUGGCGCACGGGUGAGUAAUAUAUAGUUAAUGUGCCCCAAAGACCGGGAUAGCCACUGGAAACGGUGAUUAAUACUGGAUACACCUUUGUAAUAUAAGUUAUAAAGGGAAAUGAAUUUCGCUUUGGGAUCAGACUAUAUCCUAUCAGCUAGUUGGUGAGGUAACGGCUCACCAAGGCAAUGACGGGUAGCGGGUUUGAGAGGAUGAUCCGCCACACUGGUACUGAGACACGGACCAGACUCCUACGGGAGGCAGCAGUGAGGAAUAUUGCACAAUGGGGGAAACCCUGAUGCAGCAACGCCGCGUGGAGGAUGACGCAUUUCGGUGUGUAAACUCCUUUUAUAUGUCAAGAAAAUGACGGUAGCAUAUGAAUAAGCACCGGCUAACUCCGUGCCAGCCGCCGCGGUAA